rnacentral:rRNA from 1 species
GAUGAACGCUGGCGGCGUGCCUAAUACAUGCAAGUCGAGCGAACAGACGAGGAGCUUGCUCCUCUGACGUUAGCGGCGGACGGGUGAGUAACACGUGGAUAACCUACCUAUAAGACUGGGAUAACUUCGGGAAACCGGAGCUAAUACCGGAUAAUAUAUUGAACCGCAUGGUUCAAUAGUGAAAGACGGUUUUGCUGUCACUUAUAGAUGGAUCCGCGCCGCAUUAGCUAGUUGGUAAGGUAACGGCUUACCAAGGCAACGAUGCGUAGCCGACCUGAGAGGGUGAUCGGCCACACUGGAUCUGAGACACGGUCCAGACUCCUACGGUAGGCAGCAGUAGGGAAUCUUCCGCAAUGGGCGAGAGCUUGACGGAGCAACGCCGCGUGAGUGAUGAAGGUCUUCGGAUCGUAAAACUCUGUUAUUAGGGAAGAACAAAUGUGUAAGUAACUAUGCACGUCUUGACGGUACCUAAUCAGAAAGCCACGGCUAACUACGUG